rnacentral:sRNA from 1 species
GCCGGCUGUGGUAGCUCACAUCUGUAGUCCCGGCUACUCAGGAAGCUGAAGUGGGAGGAUCACUUGAGCCUAUGAGUUCAAGACCACCCUGGACAACACGGUGUGACCCCAUCUCUC